CAUUAAGUGGCCGAGAUAAGGUAAUGACCUUUUAAGUCAUCCUACGAUUGUAUUAAUCCUUAAUGA
rnacentral:tRNA from 1 species